rnacentral:rRNA from 1 species
GACGAACGUUGGCGGCGUGCUUAAUACAUGCAAGUCAACUGAAGCAGUGGUAGCAAUAUCGCUGUGGAGGUGGCGCACGGGUGAGUAACACGUAGGUAAUCUGCCUUCAGGUCUGGCAUAACUCCGUGAAACCGGGGCUAAUAGCAGAUGAUGCAGCGGCUCGACAUCGAGACAGUUGUUAAAGCUAUGGCGCCUGAAGAUGAGCCUGCGUCUGAUUAGCUAGUUGGCGGGGUAACGGCCCACCAAGGCAACGAUCAGUAGCUGGUCUGAGAGGAUGAUCAGCCACACUGGAACUGAGACACGGUCCAGACUACUACGGGAGGCAGCAGUAAGGAAUAUUGCUCAAUGGGAGAAAUCCUGAAGCAGCAACGCCGCGUGAGGGACGAAGGGCUUUGGCUUGUAAACCUCUGUAGUGAGAGAAAAAAAUCCCAAUCUUUGGGACAUGAUGGUAGCUCAAAAGUAAGCCCCGGCUAACUACGUG